GAUGAACGCUGGCGGCAUGCCUAACACAUGCAAGUCGAACGGACGGACCAUAAACUUUUGUUUUUGUUGUUUGCGGCUGACGGGCGUGUAACGCGUGGAUCACCCUCUUAUUUUUCUUGGGGAAUCUCGGGAAAACGUUUCCUAUAACCGAUAAUAUUUUGUACCGCUUGGUUCAAAAGUUAAAGGCGGCUUUGCUGUUUCUUUUAGCUGGUUCCGCGCUGCAUUAGCUAGUUGGUAAGGUAACGGCUUACCAAGGCAACGAUGCAUAGCCGACCUGAGAGGGUGAUCGGCCACACUGGAACUGAGACACGGUCCAGACUCCUACGGGAGGCAGCAGUAGGGAAUCUUCCGCAAUGGGCGAAAGCCUGACGGAGCAACGCCGCGUGAGUGAUGAAGGUCUUCGGAUCGUAAAACUCUGUUAUUAGGGAAGAACAUAUGUGUAAGUAACUGUGCACAUCUUGACGGUACCUAAUCAGAAAGCAACGGCUAACUACGUG
rnacentral:rRNA from 1 species